rnacentral:lncRNA from 1 species
AGAAACAGGCAGCCUGACUAGAGAACAAACUACCAAUUAACGAGCGAGGAAACAGGGCCAGAGAAUUGGAACAAAAUACAAGGCUGCCUCUGAAAGGAAUAUCUUUGUGCUGAUGUGUCCAUCAAGAGAACAUACACAGAAGUGACACUUGCCAGAAUCUUCAGGGGACCACUCAUUCUCUCCUCUUCAGUCAUGAGGCUCUACAGGUGACUUCAGCUCAUGCUCAGAUCUGACCCAUCAGAAUCAAGUGAAUAGUCUGAGAUCAGAUUUAUGAUGCGGACAAAGCUGAUGAGAAUACGCCCUGUAGUUCUGCUGGAACAUUGGGAAAAAGAAGUCCUCUUUCUGCUGGAGCUUCAAGCUCAUAGAAUGAAGACGGCGUGCUGGGGACCAUCUUGUAACCAUCAAAGUAAUUUGCAAGCAGAUGGAACUUCAAUAUGGCAAUAGAGAAAGAAUCAAUUAGACCAGAGUCUCCUCAGGAAGACUUUCUAUAGAUAUCUGGUGAGCAUCUGCUAGAUGCCAGGGUUGGGGAGAGUCAAGUUGAAGCAAGCAUGAACCCUCAAGGACCUACCAUUUCAAGGCAAGAAAUAGAUACAAAUACAGCGUAAUUAUCUCUCCAAUUAAAGAGCAACCAAGGGACAACUGAACUGGAGGUUCUGCAGAAUUACAACUAAGCACGCAGCCGAGGAAUCUACUCAGCUUUGAUCUCUUAUCGCUCUGCACACACAGCCCUUUCUCUGUAAGGCUAGCUGCUCUCAGCAUCACUGUGUCUAAUCAAACGUGUCACACCUCCACUGAGAAAAUAUUUACUGGAUAGCUACUAGACAUAAGGAUGCAGAAAUGAAUUAGAAAAAUUCCUCGCCCUUGUUCAAAGCUAUGCUGGCUCUUAGAACAUCUGAGCCCCCACUGUUUCAUCUUUAGAGGAUCCCAGCUGCUGGGGUGUGAGGCCAGUGCUGGAGCCAGCAGUCUCUGACCCAGAAGGGACCUGAGGUGCUAAAGAAAAGGGUACAAGCUGGAAAAGGGGAAAAUGAAUCAUGCUACAGGCCAAGUGUCCAUCACUGAUUCCCAGAGAUGCCCUUUGUGUGGUAGGCACUUCCAUGUGGACUCGCUACAGAGGUCAUAAGACCCUAAUUCCAGAGGGCCCUACCCUAUAACCAGAAGGAAGAACUAUUGCACAGAGAAUCUAAGAAGAAUCUAGACAGACAGCCCUUGCUGGAUUUCUCCACUCUGUUAGCAUUCGAUCAUUUGCCUUUUGUCCAGUCAUAUUUCUGCAUGGCUGUCCAUACUUUGUUGAACCUAAGCACAAAAUGGAAAGUUUUCCCUGUAUCUUUGGGUCGUCAUUCUGAAGGCUCCCAUGUUAUGUAAAACUAUGAUCAAAUAAAUAUGCAUGCCUUUUCUCCUAUAA